UGAGGAAUAUUGGUCAAUGGAGGCAACUCUGAACCAGCCAUGCCGCGUGCAGGAAGAAUGUCCUAUGGAUUGUAAACUGCUUUUGUACGGGAAGAAAAAGAAUUACGUGUAAUUUAUUGACGGUACCGUAAGAAUAAGGAUCGGCUAACUCCGUG
rnacentral:rRNA from 1 species